rnacentral:tRNA from 1 species
GGAGAGGUGGCAGAGCGGCCGAAUGCACCGGUCUUGAAAACCGGCGUGUCGGGAAACCGACACCGUGGGUUCGAAUCCCACCCUCUCCG